AAACUUUCAACAACGGAUCUCUUGGUUCUGGCAUCGAUGAAGAACGCAGCGAAAUGCGAUAAGUAAUGCGAAUUGCAGAAUUCCAGUGAGUCAUCGAAUCUUUGAACGCACAUUGCGCCCUUUGGUAUUC
rnacentral:rRNA from 1 species